AAAACGGCCCUUUUAAGGGCCAACAAAUAUGUCUUGAAAGAGUUUU
rfam:Culex pipiens quinquefasciatus supercont3.629 genomic scaffold, whole genome shotgun sequence.